ensembl:misc_RNA
CUUAUAGUGCUAGAGGCUGAAUUCCUGUAAUUUUAUCCACCAGACAAACAUGGCGUGAGCAGCAGCAGUGCAAGCUUCCUGUCAUUGCCAGUCAAUGUGCCUCAAAUUUGUUCUGGAUGGACAACCUUAAGGUAGUCCAUGGCCAUUCAAUCAUCUGCUUUUCUGUUGAGUCUUUCAAGAAU